CCUACGGGUGGCAGCAGUGGGGAAUAUUGCACAAUGGGGGAAACCCUGAUGCAGCGACGCCGCGUGGGUGAAGAAGUAUUUCGGUAUGUAAAGCUCUAUCAGCAGGAACGAGACAAGACGGUACCUGACUAAGAAGCCCCGGCUAACUAAGUGCCAGCAGCCGCGGUAAUACGUAGGGGGCAAGCGUUUUCCGGAAUCACUGGGUGGAAAGGGAGCGUAGACGGCUGUGCAAGCCUGAAGGGAAAGGCGGGGGCCCAACCCCUGGACUGCUUUGGGAACUGUACGGCUGGAGUGCAGGAGAGGUAAGUGGAAUUCCUAGUGUAGCGGUGAAAUGCGUAGAUAUUAGGAGGAACACCAGUGGCGAAGGCGGCUUACUGGACUGUAACUGACGUUGAGGCUCGAAAGCGUGGGGAGCAAACAGGAUUAGAUACCCUUGUAGUC
rnacentral:rRNA from 1 species